rnacentral:siRNA from 1 species
GAAAGGAGUAACGUGAAGGUAGA